rnacentral:rRNA from 1 species
GCUGGCGGCGUGCUUAACACAUGCAAGUCGAGUGCGCAGUUCUCUGUAGCAAUACAGGGGAUGGGCGCACGGCGCACGGGUGCGUAACACGUGGGCAAUCUGCCCUCGGAUGGGGGAUAACCCCGCGAAAGCGGGGCUAAUACCGCAUGACAUUCCGAAGACUCCGGUCUUUGGACUCAAAGGCCGCAAGGCCGUCUGAGGAGGAGCCCGCGCCCGAUUAGCUAGUUGGUGAGGUAACGGCUCACCAAGGCUUUGAUCGGUAGCCGGUCUGAGAGGAUGGCCGGCCACACUGGAACUGAGACACGGUCCAGACUCCUACGGGAGGCAGCAGUGGGGAAUAUUGCGCAAUGGGCGAAAGCCUGACGCAGCGACGCCGCGUGGGGGAUGAAGCUUCUCGGAGUGUAAACCCCUUUCGACCCGGACGAAUGACCCGCAAGGGUUUGACGGUACGGGUAUAAGAAGCCCCGGCUAACUACGUGCCAGCAGCCGCGGUAAUACGUAGGGGGCCAGCGUUGCUCGGAAUUACUGGGCGUAAAGGGUUCGUAGGUGGUGCGGCAAGUUUGGAAGUGAAAUCUCUGGGCUUAACCCAGAUGCUGCUUUCAAAACUGCCGUGCUCGAGUGCGAGAGAAGCCAGUGGAAU